CGUGAUUCGUGUAUUUGAAAAUGCAACCGUUAUUGAACGAAGUCGAGUCAAAGUGCUGGAUCGUGCAAUCGACGUCCGUAAUAACUUGUUCUCAAUUGACUGCCUGCCCUUUUUUGACAUGUCAAGACACUUCAGGAGUAUCUGAACGAGUUCACCGCCUUGAAGUUCGGGGAAGUGGAGCGGUAAUGAAGAGGAGAAAAGCCUGCUCGAACAUCACUUGAGUGACAUCAUCUGGGACAGUUGGAACAACUCUACGCUCCACAUUUAAUUCAGUGUCAAUCCUGAUUUCAUCAACAUGGACUGAUGGAACAAAAGUCAUGCAAAUAUGCUGUUUUGUGUAGUGGUGUCACAAGAUAAAGUACUUCCUUGAUGAGUUCAGAGAUGGAUGAUCAAUCAAACAUAGAAUAUGGUUUCUAGCAACCCUGCAGGUAUCCUUCAUACGCCAAUGAGAGUGCAUAAAGCUUGCACAUAUCAUAAACGGUAUCUGUGCUAUCCCCAAUAUAUAACAUUAGACCAAUUACAUUGCCAAAUUACAAUGGAGCCUAUCAAAGAAAAGGUAGAGUCCACCAAAACGUAAUUUGAAUAUUAAAAUAGAGAAAAACCAUAGAAGCACUGAUAAUUUCAUCAAAAUCUGACUAAGAUAAGAAGGUUAUGAAAUU
rnacentral:lncRNA from 1 species